rnacentral:tRNA from 1 species
GGGUUGUUAGCUCAGCUGGUAGAGCUGCGGACUCUUAAUCCGUCGGUCGUAGGUUCAAAUCCUACACAACCCACCA